UGCGUAGGCGGUUUACUAAGUCAGAUGUGAAAGCCCCGGGCUUAACCUGGGAACUGCAUUUGAUACUGGUAGGCUAGAGUAUGAUAGAGGGGGGUAGAAUUCCUGGUGUAGCGGUGAAAUGCGUAGAUAUCAGGAGGAAUACCAGUGGCGAAGGCGGCCCCCUGGAUCAAUACUGACGCUGAGGUACGAGAGCGUGGGUAGCGAACA
rnacentral:rRNA from 1 species